AGCGAACGCUGGCGGCAGGCCUAACACAUGCAAGUCGAACGAAGUCUUCGGACUUAGUGGCGGACGGGUGAGUAACACGUGGGAACGUGCCUUUAGGUUCGGAAUAACUCAGGGAAACUUGUGCUAAUACCGAAUGUGCCCUUCGGGGGAAAGAUUUAUCGCCUUUAGAGCGGCCCGCGGCUGAUUAGCUAGUUGGUGAGGUAAAGGCUCACCAAGGCGACGAUCAGUAGCUGGUCUGAGAGGAUGAUCAGCCACAUUGGGACUGAGACGCGGCCCAAACUCCUACGGGAGGCAGCAGUGGGGAAUCUUGCGCAAUGGGCGAAAGCCUGACGCAGCCAUGCCGCGUGAAUGAUGAAGGUCUUAGGAUUGUAAAAUUCUUUCACCGGGGACGAUAAUGACGGUACCCGGAGAAGAAGCCCCGGCUAACUUCGUGCCAGCCGCCGCAGUAACAC
rnacentral:rRNA from 1 species